UGGGGAUUAGUCUAGUGGUAAGACACCUGACUCUGGAUCAGGCAUCCCAGGUUCGAAUCCUGGAUCCCCAGCCA
rnacentral:tRNA from 1 species